GUGGCCUCUAAGGAUGAAUUCUCCAAGUAAAGAAACAAGGUGAUCUUAACUUCCCAAUCCAGGGUUACCGAAUUUCACCCGACAAUUGGUUGAGCCUCCUUGGAAAGAAGAGAGAAAAUGUUUUCAGAACUGAUGUGAAUCGGAGCAGAUUUGCCCACGUACUUGGAGAAGAGAACACCCACACCAGAAGCGUGUGAUGGUUGCUGAUUCUCCUGCCGGACAAACUCCUGUUUUCCAUGACUAACAGAGGCUGAGUCAUGCAGGCAGCAGGUCUGUUUAUGUACAGCCGUCUUAAAACAGGCUGCACGGUAGAAGGAGGGAAG